GCAAUAAACAAUAAAAAUAGUAUUAAAAGCAGGUGGGGCUUUUAAAAAAUAUUUUUGUUUGGUACUAGGACUUUAAAAUUUUUAUUGAAGGUGUACUCUAAUAAAUCCUA